AACCAUUCUCACCUGCGGCUAGACCUGCGGAAGGAUCAUUAAUAAAUAAUCCAAAAUAUGGAUUAUAUUAAUCCAUACACCUUUUGUGAACUGUAAUCUGUCCAUUGCUUUUUUUCCUUUCCGGGUUUAGUGUCUUUUUAGUUGGAGAGAAAUGUCGGAUUAAUUUUCGACAUGGAUUAAAAACUGAUUUGGCAUUCCGGGAAGGGAAGGGCAAUACUACACACAUUUUUAUUUUUUUGA
rnacentral:misc_RNA from 1 species